UUUAGUUACUAUUAUUAACUGCCAACUUGUCACUUUUCUACAGGCUACCUCAAAGUUACUCACAAGCUAUGUACCAAAAGUCCAUUUGUAAGACAGCUGCUGACAUGUCAUUUGUAAUUAUCGCACAGAAACAACCUCUGCAUGGUGGUUCCCAGAACCAAACAUGCCCACUUAAUCCAAAAUGUACGUGGAGGGAGUAUUAACCAUAUUACGAACCUAACUGCUGAGCAGAACAACAUUUCAGCGGGAAAGUGCAUGCGUUGAGAAAAGCCAAGCACGCAGCCUUCUUGGCUUCCAGGAUUCCGGAGGCCAUAGAAAAAGCUUCAUCAGCCCAAGGCAGUACCACGGGAGGGAGGAGGGGAGAAGGGUGGACGAGCAAUUGAGCGCAAACCUCUGAUCACACCACGGCCUGAUCCUUUCUCCCCCUCAUAUCUUCAGAAGGCAGCCAACAGGGAAAGGUCAACAUGAUGGUGGGUUUGGAGUUCACAGAAAAUGAAAGGAAGCUCAUUCGUGUUUCAAGUGAACCUAGACGCCUACACUGCCAGGUAUUCAAGAUGCCAUAUACACCCAGCAUCCAUAUAAUUUUCUGUUUCAACAAAUGAAAAGACUGAGUGGAAAUAAUAAAAUGUAAACUG